ACAUCAAAACAGAGAAAGCUAAGAAAAGUUUCAAAGGUUUGUUGAUGGGACAGAACCAUGAAUGCCUGUUUGCAGAUCUUACCAGUUGCAAAACAAGAGCAAAUUUAAUUUUUAAUACCAAACGAGGGCACAUAUGGAAAAGGGUUAUUUGCAACCAUUUCCCUUUCUCAAAAAAGAGAGGCAUCAGCCAAGGAUGUCAGAUCAGCAUUUUUGAAGAAGCUGACCCUAGCAACACAUAUCAAACAGUAAACGUAUAUAAUAAUGGAACUGUAUUGAUACAAGGCAAUGAUUCAAGCCUCCAGGCUUUUGAGAAUAGGUUUACUACCCUAAAAGCAGAAGCUGAAAUCAUCUCAGAAACUGAGGAAAAAGUCAAGGAGGGAGAUGACGGUGAAAAGCAGGCCCCAACGGUCUCUGUGACCCAGCAAGAAGCCCUCAGUGUCCCUCUACCUACCUCACCUGCAGCAGACAGAGCCAAGGACAUGCCUACAACACCAAGAACACCUGCUAUGCAACGUUUCCACAACACCCUCUCUCUAGUCGAAGCAGAGGUCAUAGAACUCAGAGAGAACAAGCUUCAAGAGGAGGACACUGUCCAGAAACUUAAA